rnacentral:rRNA from 1 species
UGAGUAACACGUAUGCAACCUGCCCACAACUGCGGGAUAACCCGUCGAAAGACGGACUAAUACCGCAUGGUAUGGAUUGAUCGCCUGAUUGAUUCAUCAAAGAAUUUCGGUUGUGGAUGGGCAUGCGUUCCAUUAGGCAGUUGGUGAGGUAACGGCUCACCAAACCUACGAUGGAUAGGGGUUCUGAGAGGAAGGUCCCCCACACUGGUACUGAGACACGGACCAGACUCCUACGGGAGGCAGCAGUGAGGAAUAUUGGUCAAUGGGCGAGAGCCUGAACCAGCCAAAUCGCGUGAAGGAUGAAGGUAUUAUGUAUUGUAAACUUCUUUUAUAGGGGAAUAAAGUGCACCACGUGUGGUGUUUUGUAUGUACCCUAGGAAUAAGGAUCGGCUAACUCCGUGCCAGCAGCCGCGGUAAUACGGAGGAUCCAAGCGUUAUCCGGAUUUAUUGGGUUUAAAGGGUGCGUAGGCGGGGAUACAAGUCAGCGGUGAA